CUUGGAUGGAAAUUGACAUCAAUCUCUGCAGGGUCCCGUUGUUGCCAUAGAAACAUGAAUGCUCAGACACCAAUCUCCUGCAGCAGGGAGGUCCAGCCAGGCGCAGUGUGCGCCAAGUGCGCGGUCAUUGGAGAUUUUUGCCUUACUGGUAUCCAUAGGGUCGGCUCGGCUGUGGUGCCCUUGAGUGCUGCACUCAUUUGUCAGUAUAUUAGGCACCGCCGACCCUACACCCUCUCAGUUCCUUCUUGCCAGCAACUCUGACAGAGGGGCAGAGGCGGGUAAUGGAAUGGACAUGAGCAACGCAUCAUGAAGAACAUCCAUUACGAAAAGGCACAGUUUGCGGCAGGUGGAACUCACCAGAUCGAGCCAGUCAUCGAGAUAUGGGAAGACCUGGAUCCCUCAACAUCUCAGACCCCUGACGAGGCCGCCAAGGCCUUGGUGACGGGGGCGACCGGA